CUUUCUGGCUCAAGACUUCAAGAAAGUUAGAAGUGCGCGGCGCGUGUUAAAAGUCGAGUUAUAGUUAUUCCUUAAAAGCUAAUUGUUAAAAAGCUUAAAAUAAAGUGUUAGUAGUGCAGUUAGUAAAUUAUUAAAGGGUGCUGUGUGGCUAAUAAAAGCGGUUCGCAUUCCAAGGGAAUUGCGUGCCACUGAACCUAGUGGAAAAAGGCCUAACGAGGCCUUUUUCCGUUUGUUUAGGCCAGUCGUUUGGAUUUCCGGGAGAAACUGGUCCCAAACGCCCCACUUGCAUCUUAUUUGGAAUUUUACGGAACAAAUCAAAUCCCUGAGCCAGAAAUCUUCCCUGCUGGUACUCCUUUGGGGUAAACAGCAGAAGAGGGAUUCUCGACACGACAAUUGUCCAACCACGUUUUUCGGGACUUUUGUUAGGCCAUUCGGAUCCGGAGUUCGACGCCAUUGUUGGAGACGCCAUCUUGAAUCGACAGGCCGAAUCGAUCGCUGAAAUAUCUUGGAAGUGAACCGGCCCCCGGCGAUAAUAGGCCCGAUCCACCCCCCACGCAGCGACAGAGAAAAUAAUUGUUGCGCUUCGCACCAGAGGUUCUCCACCAUCGCUCCACCGUCAAGUCGGUUGAUUGGCCAAUCACUAUUGGUUCAUUCGGGCGACUUUUAUGUGUAGCAGAUCGAUCCAGAGGUUCCCCACCAUCACCGUAAGUGAGCCUACGAUCCACAGCAACAGGAAAACCGUAAGUCGCGCUGGUUAAUUUUUUAUUAGGAACACAUUUGUGCAAUAGAAAAUAAGGAAAUCGUGAUCACGAGGUUAGGCUACAAUAGCUAGUUACUUGAAAGCAUAAUAAAUAGCAUGUCGUUUGUAGACCAAUUGUAUUCACCCAAGGAUACCUAGCACUCUAUUAGAAAAGGAAAUUUGAAGCUCUUAGAAAUCACACUUAUUGGUUAAUAUCGUCCUAAAUUCGAUGCAAACUUCUUAAUCCAAUAGUUUCCCACCCCUCGUUUCCUGAAAUCUUUCAGAGGGUAGAAAAGGUAAGAUCGAGAUAGCAAGUUGGUUUCAACCCUGGUAAAUGAACCUCGAGAGUUCAUCAGAAAUUAUGUUGCGAUUAUGCUGAGGCUUCCCUGUACCUAAAUGUAAACAAUUCGCAUAAAACGACCCUGGGAGUUUCCGAUUCACAUUUGAAUCAAGGAACGUUACAAAGGAG